ACUCGGUGAAAUUAUAGUACCUGUGAAGAUGCAGGUUACCCGCGACAGGACGGAAAGACCCCGUGGAGCUUUACUGCAGCCUGAUAUUGAAUUUUGGUACAGCUUGUACAGGAUAGGUAGGAGCCUGAGAAGCCGGAGCGCUAGCUUCGGUGGAGGCGUUGGUGGGAUACUACCCUGGCUGGAUUGAAAUUCUAACCCGCGCCCCUUAUCGGGGUGGGAGACAGUGUCAGGUGGGCAGUUUGACUGGGGCGGUCGCCUCCUAAAGAGUAACGGAGGCGCCCAAAGGUUCCCUCAGAAUGGUUGGAAAUCAUUCGUAGAGUGUAAAGGCACAAGGGAGCUUGACUGCGAGACCUACAAGUCGAGCAGGGACG
rnacentral:rRNA from 1 species